AAUUGGAGGGCAAGUCUGGUGCCAGCAGCCGCGGUAAUUCCAGCUCCAAUAGCGUAUAUUAAAGUUGUUGCAGUUAAAAAGCUCGUAGUUGAAUUUCGAGACCGGCUUACUGGUCGUGCUAUUGUACGUACUGGUAUAAUCGGUUUCUCCUUUCUGACGAACUAUAAUGCCAUUAAUUUGGUGUUAUAGGGAAUCAGGACUGUUACUUUGAAAAAAUUAGAGUGUUUAAAGCAGGCUCACGCUUGAAUACAUUAGCAUGGAAUAACGAAAUAGGACGUUUGAUUUUAUUUUGUUGGUUUCUAGGAUCGACGUAAUGAUUAAUAGGGAUAGUUGGGGGCAUUAGUAUUCAAUUGUCAGAGGUGAAAUUCUUGGAUUUAUUGAAGACUAACUACUGCGAAAGCAUUUGCCAAGGAUGUUUUCAUUAAUCAAGAACGAAAGUUAGGGGAUCGAAGACGAUCAGAUACCGUCGUAGUCUUAACCAUAAACUAUGCCGACUAGGGAUCGGAUGAUGUUAAUUUUUUAAUGACUCAUUCGGCGCCUUACGGGAAACCAAAGUGU
rnacentral:rRNA from 1 species